rnacentral:rRNA from 1 species
GAUGAACGCUAGCGGCAGGCCUAAUACAUGCAAGUCGAGGGGCGGCAUGUCUGUAGCAAUACAGAUGAUGGCGACCGGCAAACGGGUGCGGAACACGUACACAACCUUCCUUCGAGCGGGGAAUAGCCCAGAGAAAUUUGGAUUAAUACCCCCAUAGUAUAUCAAUUAGGCAUCUUUUUGAUAUUAAAGAUUUAUUACUUGAAGAUGGGUGUGCGGCUGAUUAGGUAGUUGGCGGGGUAACGGCCCACCAAGCCUACGAUCAGUAACUGGUGUGAGAGCACGACCAGUCACACGGGCACUGAGACGACGGGCCCG